rnacentral:rRNA from 1 species
UGAGGGAUAUUGGGCAAUGGGGGAAACCCUGACCCAGCAACGCCGCGUGAGGGAAGAAGGUCUUCGGAUUGUAAACCUAAGUAGUCAGGGACGAAGAAAUGACGGUACCUGAAGAGUAAGCUCCGGCUAACUACGUGCCAGCAGCCGCGGUAAUACGUAGGGAGCGAGCGUUGUCCGGAUUUACUGGGUGUAAAGGGUGCGUAGGCGGGCUGUCAAGUCAGAUGUGAAAUACCGGGGCUUAACUCCGGGGCUGCAUUUGAAACUGAUGGUCUUGAGUGAAGUAGAGGCAGGCGGAAUUCCUAGUGUAGCGGUGAAAUGCGUAGAUAUUAGGAGGAACACCAGUGGCGAAGGCGGCCUGCUGGGCUUUAACUGACGCUGAGGCACGAAAGCAUGGGGAGCA